rnacentral:rRNA from 1 species
AGAGUUUGAUCCUGGCUCAGAACGUACGCUGGCGGCGUGCUUAACACAUGCAAGUCGAACGCGAAAGUUGUCCUUCGGGACGGCGAGUAGAGUGGCAGACGGGUGAGUAACACGUGGGUAACCUACCCCGAGGCGGGGGAUAACAACUGGAAACGGUUGCUAAUACCGCAUAAGACUACGAACGGAUCUUCGGAUUAGUAGUUAAAGUCUUCGGACACCUUGGGAGGGGCCCGCGGUUGAUUAGCUUGUUGGUGGGGUAAAGGCCUACCAAGGCAACGAUCAAUAGCUGGUCUGAGAGGAUGAUCAGCCACACUGGUACUUAGACACGGACCAGACUCCUACGGGAGGCAGCAGUGGGGAAUAUUGCGCAAUGGACGAAAGUCUGACGCAGCAACGCCGCGUGGGUGAGAAGGCCUUAGGGUCGUAAAGCUCUGUCAGGUGGGAAGAACCUUGCCUUUAUGGCAACUGACGGUACCACCAAAGGAAGCACCGGCUAACUCCGUGCCAGCAGCCGCGGUAAUACGGAGGGUGCAAGCGUUGUUCGGAAUUACUGGGCGUAAAGGGCGCGUAGGCGGCCUGUCAAGUCUGAUGUGAAAGUCCGGGGCUCAACCCCGGAAGUGCAUUGGAAACUGGCAGGCUUGAGUUCGGGAGGGGAGGGCAGAAUUCCCGGUGUAGGGGUGAAAUCCGUAGAUAUCGGGAGGAAAAUCAGUGGCGAAGGCGGCCCUCUGGAACGAAACUGACGCUGAGGCGCGAAAGCGUGGGGAGCAAACAGGAUUAGAGACCCUGGUAGUCCACGCCGUAAACGAUGGAUGCUAGGUGUAGGGAUCAAUCAUGAUCUCUGUGCCGAAGCUAACGCGAUAAGCAUCCCGCCUGGGGAGUACGGUCGCAAGACUAAAACUCAAAGGAAUUGACGGGGGCCUGCACAAGCGGUGGAGUAUGUGGUUUAAUUCGACACAACGCGCAGAACCUUACCUGGGUUUGACAUCGUGUGACGUUUAUAGAGAUAUAAAUUCCUCUUCGGAGGCACACAGACAGGUGCUGCAUGGCUGUCGUCAGCUCGUGUCGUGAGAUGUUGGGUUAAGUCCCGCAACGAGCGCAACCCCCGUCCCAUGUUGCCAGCAAGUAAUGUUGGGCACUCUUGGGAGACUGCCGGUGUCAAACCGGAGGAAGGUGGGGAUGACGUCAAGUCCUCAUGGCCCUUAUACCCAGGGCUACACACGUACUACAAUGGCCGGUACAAAGAGGCGCCAACCCGCGAGGGGGAGCAAAUCUCAGAAAGCCGGUCUCAGUUCGGAUUGGAGUCUGCAACUCGACUCCAUGAAGGCGGAAUCGCUAGUAAUCGCGGAUCAGCAUGCCGCGGUGAAUACGUUCCCGGGCCUUGUACACACCGCCCGUCACACCAUGAGAGUCGCUUGUACCAGAAGUGCGUAGGCCAACCCUUUGGGGAGGCAGCGUACCAAGGUGUGGGCGGUAAUUGGGGUGAAGUCGUAACAAGGUA